rnacentral:rRNA from 1 species
CCCGCUGAACUUAAGCAUAUUAAUAAGCGGAGGAAAAGAAACUAACAAGGAUUCCCCUAGUAACGGCGAGUGAAGCGGGAAGAGCUCAAGCUUAAAAUCUCCGUGUAAGUUUUGCACGGCGAAUUGUAGUCUAUAGAGGCGUGGUCAGCGUGGGCGCUUGGGGCAAGUUCCUUGGAAGAGGACAGCAUGGAGGGUGAUACUCCCGUUCAUCCCUGAGUUGCUCGUGCGUACGGCCCGUUUUCUUUGAGUCGCGUUGUUUGGGAAUGCAGCGCAAAGUAGGUGGUAAAUUCCAUCUAAAGCUAAAUAUUGGUGCGAGACCGAUAGCGAACAAGUACCGUGAGGGAAAGAUGAAAAGAACUUUGAAAAGAGAGUUAAAGAGUACCUGAAACUGCUGAAAGGGAACCGAAUCGUUUCCAGUGUCUAUAAUCUGUGGCAUAUUUCAUUGGCGAGUGUGUGCGUGCGUGUACUGUGGCAGUGGCUUUUUUGGCUGCGCUCGGUGUGUGUGCUGUGUGUGCUUGCUGGUGCCCUGUGCUGCGGUGGGACGUCAAGGUCAGUUCGUAUGCUGCGGGAAAUGGCUGCCGAGGAGGUAGGGCUUACGCUUGCGUUUGUCUGUUAUAUCUUGGUGGACGAGUAGUCGCGGUUGGGACUGAGGUGCCUACAACGUGCUUUUGAGUGUGUUUGUGUCUCCGUGUGCGCCGUGUGCGGAUAGCUUGCUAUGCGUGUGUGGUUGUGUGUGGAUUGAUGCGGACUUUAACUUGUUGCCGUUCGGGACGUUGACGAAAUGGAGCGAUCCGACCCGUCUUGAAACACGGACCAAGGAGUCUAACAUGUGUGCAAGUGUUAGGGUGUGGAAACCCCAGCGCGAAAUGAAAGUGAAGGGCAGCGUUAGCUGUCUGAGGUAGGAAACGUUGUGGGCUUCGGUCUGCGGCGUGGCACUAUCGACCGAUCAUGAACCUUCGUGGUGAAAGAUUUGAGUUUGAGCACAUAUGUUGGUACCCGAAAGAUGGUGAACUAUGCCUGAGUAGGGUGAAGCCAGGGGAAACUCUGGUGGAAGCUCGUAGCGAUUCUGACGUGCAAAUCGAUCGUCAAACUUGGGUAUAGGGGCGAAAGACUAAUCGAACCAUCUAGUAGCUGGUUCCCUCCGAAAUUUCCCUCAGGAUAGCAGCAACUUAUUUACGAUAGUUUUAUGAGGUAAAGCGAAUGAUUAGAGGAUUCGGGGAAGAAACUUCCUCGACCUAUUCUCAAACUUUAAAUCUGUAAGACCUGCAGGUUUCUUAAUUGAACUUGUGGAUGUGAAUAUCAAGUUGCUAGUGGGCCAUACGGGGUAAGCUCGUCUGGCG